rnacentral:tRNA from 2 species
GAGUGAUUAGCUCAGUUGGUAGAGCAUCUGACUUUUAAUCAGAGGGUCAUAGGUUCGAGCCCUAUAUCACUCA